GCGGGGUUGGUCUAGUGGUAUGAUUCUCGCUUUGGGUACACCCGCUUGGGUAUUUUCCUUGUGAGAGGUCCUGGGUUCAAUCCCCAGACUCCGCC